AAGAUCGUGCUUCAUAGGAUCAUUUCUAUAGUACGAUCGCCGAGACGCAUCCGCGAUCUCGGAAUACACUCGACCACGAUGAGGAGUCGAGGGUCUCCGCCUGAGCGCGAAGCCGGCAUCGGAACUUGGGGUUCCGACCCGGGUUCCUGCCAUUGAUGACCGUUCCCUCGGCCUUAUCGGUCGGUGGGAGGGCGGAGACCCAGUCUGAGUGGC
rnacentral:snoRNA from 1 species